rnacentral:rRNA from 1 species
UACGGAGGGGGCAAGCGUUGUUCGGAAUUACUGGGCGUAAAGGGCUUGUAGGUGGCCAACUAAGUCAGACGUGAAAUCCCUCGGCUUAACCGGGGAACUGCGUCUGAUACUGGAUGGCUUGAGUGUGGGAGAGGGAUGCGGAAUUCCAGGUGUAGCGGUGAAAUGCGUAGAUAUCUGGAGGAACACCGGUGGCGAAGGCGGCAUCCUGGACCAUUACUGACACUGAAAAGCGAAAGCCAGGGGAGCAAACGGG